rnacentral:rRNA from 1 species
UCAAGCCUACGGGACGCAGCAGUGGGGAAUAUUGCACAAUGGGGGGAACCCUGAUGCAGCGACGCCGCGUGGGUGAAGGAGUACUUCGGUACGUAAAGCCCUAUCAGCAGGAAAGAAAAUGACGGUACCUGACUAAGAAGCCCCGGCUAACUACGUGCCAGCAGCCGCGGUAAUCCGUAGGGGGCAAGCGUUAUCCGGAUUUACUGGGUGUAAAGGGAGCGUAGACGGCAGGGCAAGUCCGGAUUGAAA